GUGAAGGUGGCUCAGUGGUAGAGCUCUUGCCUUGCAUGCAUGAGGCCCUGGGUUCAAUUCCUAAGCACCACA
rnacentral:tRNA from 1 species